rnacentral:rRNA from 1 species
GAUGAACGCUGGCGGCGUGCCUAAUACAUGCCAGUCGAGCGAACGGACGAGAAGCUUGCUUCUCUGAUGUUAGCGGCGGACGGGUGAGUAACACGUGGAUAACCUACCUAUAAGACUGGGAUAACUUCGGGAAACCGGAGCUAAUACCGGAUGAUAUUUUGAACCGCAUGGUUCAAAAGUGAAAGACGGUCUUGCUGUCACUUAUAGAUGGAUCCGCACUGCAUUAGCUAGUUGGUAAGGUAACGGCUUACCAAGGCAACGAUGCAUAGCCGACCUGAGAGGGUGAGCGGCCACACUGGAACUGAGACACGGUCCAGAAGCCAACGGGAGGCAGCAGUAGGGAAUCUUCCGCAAUGGGCGAAAGCCUGACGGAGCAACGCCGCGUGAGUGAUGAAGGUAUUCGGAUCGUAAAACGCUGUUAUUAGGGAAGAACAUAUGUGUAAGUAACUGUGCACAUCGUGACGGUACCUAAUCAGAAGACCACGGCUAACUACGUG